AGCGAACGCUGGCGGCAGGCCUAACACAUGCAAGUCGAGCGCCCCGCAAGGGGAGCGGCAGACGGGAGAGUAACACGUGGGAACGUACCCUUCAGUUCGGAACAACCCAGGGAAACUUGGGCUAAUACCGGAUACGUCCGAAAGGAGAAAGAUUUAUCGCUGAGGGAUCGGCCCGCGUCUGAAUAGCUAGUUGGUGGGGUAACGGCCCACCAAGGCGACGAUCAGUAGCUGGUCUGAGAGGAUGAUCAGCCUCACUGGGACUGAGACACGGCCCAGACUCCUACGGGAGGCAGCAGUGGGGAAUAUUGGACAAUGGGCGCAAGCCUGAUCCAGCCAUGCCGCGUGGGUGAUGAAGGCCCUAGGGUUGUAAAGCCCUUUCGGCGGGGAAGAUAAUGACGGUACCCGCAGAAGAAGCCCCGGCUAACUUCGUGCCAGCCGCCGCAGUAAAAC
rnacentral:rRNA from 1 species